rnacentral:rRNA from 1 species
CAUAGUUGACCCUGCGGAAGGAUCAUUG